rnacentral:rRNA from 1 species
ACGCUGGCGGCGUGCCUAAUACAUGCAAGUAGAACGCUGAAGGAGGAGCUUGCUUCUCUGGAUGAGUUGCGAACGGGUGAGUAACGCGUAGGUAACCUGCCUGGUAGCGGGGGAUAACUAUUGGAAACGAUAGCUAAUACCGCAUAAUAUUGAUUAUUGCAUGAUAGUCAAUUAAAAGGUGCAAUUGCAUCACUACCAGAUGGACCUGCGUUGUAUUAGCUAGUUGGUGAGGUAACGGCUCACCAAGGCAACGAUACAUAGCCGACCUGAGAGGGUGAUCGGCCACACUGGGACUGAGACACGGCCCAGACUCCUACGGGAGGCAGCAGUAGGGAAUCUUCGGCAAUGGACGGAAGUCUGACCGAGCAACGCCGCGUGAGUGAAGAAGGUUUUCGGAUCGUAAAGCUCUGUUGUAAGAGAAGAACGAGUGUGAGAGUGGAAAGUUCACACUGUGACGGUAUCUUACCAGAAAGGGACGGCUAACUACGUGCCAGCAGCCGCGGUAAUACGUAGGUCCCGAGCGUUGUCCGGAUUUAUUGGGCGUAAAGCGAGCGCAGGCGGUUAGAUAAGUCUGAAGUUAAAGGCUGUGGCUUAACCAUAGUACGCUUUGGAAACUGUUUAACUUGAGUGCAAGAGGGGAGAGUGGAAUUCCAUGUGUAGCGGUGAAAUGCGUAGAUAUAUGGAGGAACACCGGUGGCGAAAGCGGCU